UGGGGAAUCUUGGACAAUGGGGGCAACCCUGAUCCAGCCAUGCCGCGUGAGUGAUGAAGGCCUUAGGGUCGUAAAGCUCUUUCGCCUGUGAAGAUAAUGACGGUAGCAGGUAAAGAAACCCCGGCUAACUCCGUGCCAGCAGCCGCGGUAAUACGGAGGGGGUUAGCGUUGUUCGGAAUUACUGGGCGUAAAGCGCACGUAGGCGGACCAGAAAGUUGGGGGUGAAAUCCCGGGGGCUCAACCCCGGAACUGCCUCCAAAACUAUUGGUCUAGAGUUCGAGAGAGGUGAGUGGAAUUCCAAGUGUAGAGGUGAAAUUCGUAGAUAUUUGGAGGAACACCAGUGGCGAAGGCGGCUCACUGGCUCGAUACUGACGCUGGAGGUGCGAAAGUGUGGGGAGCAAACAGGAUUAGAUACCCUGGUAGUCCACACCGUAAAACGAUGAAUGCCAGUCGUCGGGUAGCAUGCUAUUCGGUGACACACCUAACGGAUUAAGCAUUCC
rnacentral:rRNA from 1 species